rfam:Orchesella cincta Ocin01_Sc0294, whole genome shotgun sequence.
CCAACGGCCCUUUUAAGGGCCACCAUACUUUUCAAAGAGCGAUUCAU